CUCAAUCUUGUAAAAAGUUUCUAGAAUUUCUGUUUACUCUUUUUCUUUUUUAGAUUUGGUAAAUCUCUGAGGAAGGAUGGUGAAAUGACAAAUUCUUUUUCCUGAUUCUCCACAUGCUGCAUCAAUGAGCCUCCUUUCUGAGGAUAGAAGACCUUCAUAGAAGUAUUGGAUAAGAGAUUAGUUGGAGAUGUCACGUUGGGGGCAACUUGUGCAUAACUUUUUGAAUCCCAAUAUUUUUACAACUCCUCAUAUUCUUUU